rnacentral:misc_RNA from 1 species
AAGUCGUAACAAGGUUUCCGUAGGUGAACCUGCGGAAGGAUCAUUAACACGUUUUAAACGUAUCAACCAACCGCGAACUUUGACGUUAGUGGUCUCUCUCCGCAAGGGGAGUUGACUGCGCCUGAGCAUUGUUAGAGGAAAGUGUCAUUACUUCCUUUAACCUUGUUCAACAUUAACCCAAACCACUUUUGUUGUUAUUAUCUGUCUUAAAGGACGUGGCGUCUAACGCUAUUGUCUUUUAUUACAAACUUGUACAACUCUUAGCAACGGAUGUCUUGGUUUCC